ACUAACAAGGAUUCCCCUAGUAACUGCGAGUGAAGCGGGAAAAGCUCAAAUUUAAAAUCUGGCGGUCUUUGGCCGUCCGAGUUGUAAUCUAGAGAAGUAAUGCCCGUGCUGGACCGUGUAUAAGUCUCCUGGGAUGGGGCGUCAUAGAGGGUGAGAAUCCCGUCUUUGACACGGACUACCAGUGCAUUGUGGUAUGCUCUCAAAGAGUCGAGUUGUUUGGGAAUGCAGCUCAAAAUGGGUGGUAAAUUCCAUCUAAAGCUAAAUACUGGCGAGAGACCGAUAGCGAACAAGUACCGUGAGGGAAAGAUGAAAAGAACUUUGGAAAGAGAGUUAAACAGUACGUGAAAUUGCUGAAAGGGAAACGCUUGAAGUCAGUCGCGUUGGCUGGGGAUCAGCCUUGCUUUUGCAUGGUGUAAUUUCUGGUUGACGGGUCAGCAUCAAUUUUGACCACUGGAAAAGGCUCAAGGGAAUGUGGCAGCUUCGGCUGUGUUAUAGCCCCUGUUCACAUACAGUGGUUGGGAUUGAGGAACUCAGCACGCCGCAAGGCCGGGUUUCGACCACGUUCGUGCUUAGGAUGCUGGCAUAAUGGCUUUAAGCGACCCGUCUUGAAACACGGACCAAGGAGUCUAACAUGCCUGCGAGUAUUUGGGUGGAAAACCCAGGUGCGCAAUGAAAGUGAAAGUUGAGAUCCCUGUCUUGGGGAGCAUCGACGCCCGGACCAGAACUUUUGGGACGGAUCCGCGGUGGAGCAUGUAUGUUGGGACCCGAAAGAUGGUGAACUAUGCCUGAAUAGGGUGAAGCCAGAGGAAACUCUGGUGGAGGCUCGUAGCGAUUCUGACGUGCAAAUCGAUCGUCAAAUUUGGGUAUAGGGGC
rnacentral:rRNA from 1 species